GAAUGAAGAUAUAUCGCAUCAUUUUUCAAAUCACCCUAGAAAUAAGUAUAUAAGACUGCCCAGGAUCGUUGGUCGUCAGUCGAUCGACAGACUGCUUCUGAUUCUACAAGAACCAUGAAAGUCUUCAUUAUCGCAGUACUUGCUCUGGUGGCUUUAGCCGAAGCUAAUCACUGUCCGAUGUGUAACAAAUGGACAGCGUUUUAUAACCGAGACGAUCCAUCGGGUCUUGGAGAUCUUGAGCUCCUUUCUCUCCACCGACAAGAAAAUCCUGGACAGAUCUGUGCUUCACCGGAAGUUGUAAAUUGUAGACGUCUCACGGGACCUUUUCGGGACGAUGUAUCGAUUGCUGCUACUUAUGGUUUGGCAUGUUUCAAUUACUUGCAACCUGACGGACAGUGUGAAGAUUACAAAUGUCGAUACUGCUGCAAUUAUCGCUACCCAUCCUGUCCCACUGGAUAUCGCUGGACCAGCUACUAUAAUCGUGACCUACCUACUGGAACUGGUGAUUAUGAGACGUUGUCGUUAAUCAACAUCGAUUACCCCUUUAACCGUGUAUGUACAGAUCCAGUAGCUAUUGACGUCCGUGUUACAAGUACCGGCUACGACUACUCCACAGCCGGCGAGGUUGUAUGUCUGGUUCCAGAACUUGGCUUUUCGUGUGUAGAUGCACAGCAACCCGAUGGACAAUGCCAGGAUUACAAAAUCCGUUUCUGCUGUCCAAAUAAUUAUUAAACGAACAGAAUCAUGUAUUGAUUAAGAUUGAGAAAUAAAGCUAGCUAGCUAUCA